rnacentral:rRNA from 1 species
CCAAAAAUGGUGUAAAUCCUUAAUAGAUAUACUAAAGCUGAUAUACUAUCUAACCAAAAAACUAAAAUAUGGAAUUUUAGGAAAAUUAUAUAUCCAAUUUUUAACAUUAUAAAAAAUCUAAAGAUUAUUAUAGAGUAUUUGAAAAAGAAGAUUAAAUAGGUGCCAGCAAUCGCGGUCAUACCUAUAUUCUUAAAAGAUAUAUUAAUAAUAUUCUAGGAAAACUACAUUUUUAAUAUAUAGUGAAAUAUUAUUAAUUUAAAAUAUUUAAAAGAUUUAUACUAAUUAUAAAGAAAACUAAUACAAAAACUAGGAUUAGAUACCCUACUAUUUAUAGUAUUAAAAAUAUUAUAUUGAAGAUUUAAUGCUCAAAGCUUAUGGCGGCUUCUAGAAUAUUCAGGGGAACUUACCAGAUAAUAGAUAAUCACCUAAUUAACCUACCUUAAUUUAAAGUUUGUAUGCCGUCGUUUAAAUUUUCAUUUUAAAUGAAAAUAUAUCUAAAUGUAAUUUAGAAAAUAUCAGAUCAAGGUGCAGCUUAUAUUUAGGUCUUAGGCGAGUUACAAUAAAACUUUAACUACGAUUAAUAAAGUAAAAACUUUAUUAGUAGAUGGACUUGAAAGUAAAAUUAAAAAUAUAGUACUUAUUUGAAUGGCCUUCUAGGAGUGC